rnacentral:rRNA from 1 species
AUAGUAGUGUCAGAGUUUGAUCCUGGCUCAGGAUGAACGCUAGCGAUAGGCUUAACACAUGCAAGUCAGGGGCAGCAUAUUCGAAGCUUGCUUUGAAUGAUGGCGACCGGCGCACGGGUGAGUAACACGUAUCCAACCUUCCGGUAACUCCGGUAUAGCCUUUCGAAAGAAAGAUUAAUCCCGGAUAGUAUGGUGAUUCCGCAUGGUUUCUCCAUUAAAGGAUUCCGGUUACCGAUGGGGAUGCGUUCCAUUAGGCAGUUGGCGGGGUAACGGCCCACCAAACCUACGAUGGAUAGGGGUUCUGAGAGGAAGGUCCCCCACAUUGGAACUGAGACACGGUCCAA